CCAGACUCCUACGGGAGGCAGCAGUAGGGAAUCUUCGGCAAUGGGGGCAACCCUGACCGAGCAACGCCGCGUGAGUGAAGAAGGUUUUCGGAUCGUAAAGCUCUGUUGUAAGUCAAGAACGAGUGUGAGAGUGGAAAGUUCACACUGUGACGGUAGCUUACCAGAAAGGGACGGCUAACUACGUGCCAGCAGCCGCGGUAAUACGUAGGUCCCGAGCGUUGUCCGGAUUUAUUGGGCGUAAAGCGAGCGCAGGCGGUUUGAUAAGUCUGAAGUUAAAGGCUGUGGCUCAACCAUAGUUCGCUUUGGAAACUGUCAAACUUGAGUGCAGAAGGGGAGAGUGGAAUUCCAUGUGUAGCGGUGAAAUGCGUAGAUAUAUGGAGGAACACCGGUGGCGAAAGCGGCUCUCUGGUCUGUAACUGACGCUGAGGCUCGAAAGCGUGGGGAGCGAACAGGAUUAGAUACCCUGGUAGUCCACGCCGUAAACGAUGAGUGCUAGGUGUUGGAUCCUUUCCGGGAUUCAGUGCCGCAGCUAACGCAUUAAGCACUCCGCCUGGGGAGUACGACCGCAAGGUUGAAACUCAAAGGAAUUGACGGGGGCCCGCACAAG
rnacentral:rRNA from 1 species